CCGAGGGGCAUGGCCUGAAAAGAUUGCCUUGGGUUUUCAAAUAUUAAAGUUCCAUUGUAUUUUUCGUGGAUGUCAAUUUAACAGAAGACAUUCGCACAUCUGGGUCAGGCUCAAGACUCACCUCCCCCUUGACACUGAAAGGCUCCUGUACCACAUUCUCUCAGGAUCAUAUGAUGCGUUUGGGCGUAGGACAUGGCACCUGGGCUUCAGACAACUGUUCAUGUUGAUGUUAAGGACCAGAUAACGAAUCAGGAAUCAAAACAGGGUUUUUCUUUGUCUAUUUGAAGAUUGAAAGAGAGAAAGUUUGGAAACGAGAGACCUUUGAACAAUCGCUUAGUCCAGAGGGGACAUGGUCCUUAGACCUGAAGUCUGUUGAACAUGAUGCAACCUCUGAGGCCCAUAUAACAAGUUGAAGAGCUGGAUGAACACAGCAGGCCAAGCAGCAUCAGAGGAGCAGGAAAGCUGACGCUUCAGAAGAUUUGAGCGUGAAUUCCCUGCCUGCGUUUCUCAUCUACAUUCUCAGAGCGAGAUCGGGCAAAGUUGACCUCGCCCCCUGCCUGCCUUUUGUCUUUUGGGUCUUGCCCGACCCUUUACCUGAAUGACACUUACCUUUUCAAGUGGAACCUCCACACGGGAGUGCGAACCGGACACAGACCAGUUCCCGCACGUUCCAAGGAUUCUCCUGGGAUUAAUUCAUGUUCUUAAGUUUAUGCAGAACAAAGCACACCUGCAGGAUUUUAUUGGAAAAGCCUUCAAUCUUAGUUUCUCAACAAAGGUUAUUACUUCAGAGAUAGUAGGAACUGCAGAUGCUGGAGAAUCUGAGAUAAC